rnacentral:rRNA from 1 species
CAGUCGCCGCGGUAAUACGGAGGGUGCAAGCGUUAAUCGGAAUUACUGGGCGUAAAGCGUGCGUAGGUGGUGGUUUAAGUCCGUUGUGAAAGCCCUGGGCUCAACCUGGGAAUUGCAGUGGAUACUGGGUCACUAGAGUGUGGUAGAGGAUAGUGGAAUUUCCGGUGUAGCAGUGAAAUGCGUAGAGAUCGGAAGGAACAUCUGUGGCGAAGGCGACUAUCUGGGCCAACACUGACACUGAGGCACGAAAGCGUGGGGAGCAAACAGGAUUAGAUACCCGAGUAGUCCCUGUCUCUUAUAA